rnacentral:rRNA from 1 species
AUUGAACGCUGGCGGAAUGCUUUACACAUGCAAGUCGAACGGCAGCACGGGGGCAACCCUGGUGGCGAGUGGCGAACGGGUGAGUAAUACAUCGGAACGUGCCCAGUCGUGGGGGAUAACGUAGCGAAAGCUACGCUAAUACCGCAUACGAUCUACGGAUGAAAGCGGGGGAUCGCAAGACCUCGCGCGAUUGGAGCGGCCGAUGGCAGAUUAGGUAGUUGGUGGGGUAAAGGCUCACCAAGCCGACGAUCUGUAGCUGGUCUGAGAGGACGACCAGCCACACUGGGACUGAGACACGGCCCAGACUCCUACGGGAGGCAGCAGUGGGGAAUUUUGGACAAUGGGCGCAAGCCUGAUCCAGCCAUUCCGCGUGCAGGAUGAAGGC